CCUACGGGUGGCUGCAGUGGGGAAUAUUGGACAAUGGGCGGAAGCCUGAUCCAGCAAUGCCGCGUGGAUGAAGAAGGUCUUCGGAUUGUAAAGUCCUUUCGGCGGGGACGAUGAUGACGGUACCCGCAGAAGAAGCCCCGGCUAACUUCGUGCCAGCAGCCGCGGUAAUACGAAGGGGGCUAGCGUUACUCGGAAUUACUGGGCGUAAAGGGCGCGUAGGCGGCAUGGUCAGUCAGGCGUGAAAUUCCUGGGCUUAACCUGGGGGCUGCGCUUGA
rnacentral:rRNA from 1 species